rnacentral:rRNA from 1 species
UGUCUCGGAGCCGGGUGUUGGUUCCGGUAGCGAUCGAGGGAAAUUAGUACCGAAGUCCGGGAUGGAAGAUGGCGAGAAAAGCUGUGUGUAUUUCUGCGGUGCCCGUACCGCAUACCGACACAGGUAGGUAGGAAGAAGAUUCUAAGGCCAACGGGAGAAGGGUUGUUAAGGAACUCGGCAAAUUGACCCCGUAACUUCGGGAGAAGGGGUGCUCUAGAGAUAGAGCCGCAGAGAAUCGGCCCAAGCAACUGUUUACCAAAAACACAGGUUUGUGCUAAAUCGAAAGAUGACGUAUACGAGCUGACGCCUGCCCGGUGCUGGAAGGUUAAGAGGAGAUGUGCAAGCAUUGAAUCGAAGCCCCAGUGAACGGCGGCCGUAACUAUAACGGUCCUAAGGUAGCGAAAUUCCUUGUCAGGUAAGUUCUGACCCGCAUGAAAGGCGUAAUGAUUUGGGCACUGUCUCGACAGCCCGCCCGGCGAAAUUGUAGUACCGGUGAAGAUGCCGGUUACCCGCGACAAGACGGAAAGACCCCAUGGAGCUUUACUGUAGCCUAAUAUUGGGUUUCGAUGUUGCAUGCACAGGAUAGAUGGGACACUGGGAAGCAAGUGCUUUGGCAUUUGUGGAGUGGCCGUUGGGAUACCAUCCUUGCGAUAUUGGAAUUCUAACCUGCGCCUUUGAAUCAAGGCGGGGGACAUUGUUAGGUGGGCAGUUUGACUGGGGCGGUCGCCUCCUAAAGAGUAACGGAGGCGUUCAAAGGUUCGCUCAGCUUGAACGGAAAUCAAGCAAAAGAGUGCAAACGCAGAAGCGAGCCUAACUGCGAGACUGACGGGUCGAGCAGUAACGAAAGUUGGAGUUAGUGAUCCGGUGGUAUGUGAGUGGAAAUGCCAUCGCUCAACGGAUAAAAGUUACCCUGGGGAUAACAGGCUGAUCUCCCCCAAGAGUCCACAUCGACGGGGAGGUUUGGCACCUCGAUGUCGGCUCAUCGCAUCCUGGGGCUGUAUUCGGUCCCAAGGGUUUGGCUGUUCGCCAAUUAAAGCGGUACGCGAGCUGGGUUCAGAACGUCGUGAGACAGUUCGGUCCCUAUCUGUCGUGGGCGCAGGAUAUUUGAUGGGAGCUGUUCCUAGUACGAGAGGACCGGAGCGGACGUACCUCUGGCGCACCAGUUGUUCUGCCAAGGGCAUAGCUGGGCAACUAUGUACGGAUCGGAUAAACGCUGAAAGCAUCUAAGCGUGAAGCCGACCCAAAGAUAAGAUAUCCCAUUGUUUCAAACAAGUAAGACCCCUUGAAGACUACAAGGUUGAUAGGCAUGAUGUGUAAGUGGAGUGAUCCAUUCAGCAAGUAUGUACUAAUAGGUCGAGGGCUUGAUC